rnacentral:lncRNA from 1 species
GUGGAAAAGAGUACCUGUGCUUUGGGCUGGUCGGUUUGUUUAAGACUCUUACUCUUCUCAAUCUUGCAGAGCUGAGCUUUGGCCUUUUUUAGGAGGCUGGCAACCCUCUUGUCAGUCAUUGGAAGCUUGUCUGCCUGAGCCAACAUGGAGCCUAUGGAGGAAGUGGAAUGUUUAACAGUGCUAGAUGAAGGAGUGGAAAGGCAGAGGGUUUUCUCCUUCUCCAGGGAUGGGGCAGUUGGGCC